rnacentral:lncRNA from 1 species
GGACUCUAAAGUGCGAUGGUACUCUAAAGUGCGAUGGUAACGCUAAAGUGCGAUGGUCUACGCUAAAGUACGAUGGUGUCUCACGCUAAAGUACGAUGGUUGCUUGUUUGCUAAAGUGCGACGGUAUAGCACGCUAAAGUGCGAUGGAACAAAAGAGAAAGGUUCAAGGGAACUAAUGUUAAAAACAAGUCUUUUUUCAAAAUCUAGUCUGCUAUGAUAUAACAUAUAAUGCGAUAGGCUUUUACUUUACAGGUAGUCUUAUGUGACUGUUUCUAAAUUAAGAAGACGAAUUUUGUAUUUGCAACUG